ACUUGAUGAGGAGGACCUAGGAUCGAAGUCUAGACUACUAUUUCCAAGUCUGAAGGAUAUAUUCCAAGCUGGGAUGUUUGGAGACAGAUUCUCUGUCACUUUUCACACACACAGUGCAGGGAAAUAAAGAUACACACCUGAGCUCCCUUCCCUGAUUCCCCUCAGGGCAGCCUGGGCAGUCAGCAUUCACUAAGAGCACCUCACUGAAUGCCAGCAGAUAAUGGAAUCCUGCAGAGAUGACAAACAGUCCAGUGUCUCUGGUUAUGGUCCAGAUGAUCCCUCUCCAACUCCAGCUCCGAGUAGACAGAACCACUGCUCAGCCUCCACCCACGCCACUACCUUCCCUGAAAGUCAGACUGCUUUAGCAUAAAUGGUAUUGCUGUGUCUUUUCCUUCCCCCUCCCUCCCUGACAUGACUUCAGGUAACUUGGCCUCCAUCAAAGGUAAAUCCAAACAAAACUGGCUGCAAAUCUCCCUCACCUCCCUUUUCCACAUCUGUGUCCUUGUACCUGUCUCAACUCUGGAAUCUAAUAGGAAGGAAAGUUACAUUUGAGUCCUUUGGGGA